rnacentral:rRNA from 1 species
GCGAAGGUAGCACAAUCACUUGUUCUUUAAAUAAGGACUAGGUAUCAAUGGCAUCACGAGGAUCCCACUGUCUCCCCCCUCCAAUCAGUGAAACUGAUCUCUCCGUGAAGAAGCGGGGAUAUUUACAUAAGACGAGAAGACCCCAUGGAGCUUUAAACCCGAUGUCACCCAUUUUCCUCUACACCCUAAUAUUCAAUUUGGCCCUGCCCUGUCGGUUUUAGGUUGGGGUGACCACGGAGUAUAAUAUACCCUCCAUGAAAAAGGGAGUAAUAAUCCUUAUUAGAGAACAACACUUCUAAAAAUUAAAACAUUAAUUUAUAAUGAUCCGAUAUUCGAUCAACGAACCAAGUUACCCUGGGGAUAACAGCGCAAUCUGCCUCAAGAGCCCCUAUCGACAGG